GACGGAAGGUGCAGGCGUUAUUCGUUUUGAUUGGGUGUAAAGGGUACGUAGGUGGUCGACGAGAGUCUUGAUGCAAAGAGCAGAGUGUUCCUGUGCGGUAUAUCAUUUCUGGACUCGACUAGAGUUGAAGAGAGGUCGGGUUAAUUUUCUGUGAAGGGGUCAAAUCCUGAGAACUAGAAAGGAAAGAUAACUGGCGAAGGCACCUUUCCCGCUUCAACUGACGCUCAGGUACGAAAGCGCAGGUAGCAAACAGG
rnacentral:rRNA from 1 species